UGGGGAAUAUUGCACAAUGGACGGAAGUUUGAUGCAGCGACGCCGCGUGGAGGGUGUAGGCCUUCGGGUUGUGAACUCCUUUUUCUCGCGAAAAAGGCACAGUUUUGGCUGUGUUGAUGGUAGUUGGGGAAGAAGCGCCGGCUAACUACGUGCCAGCAGCCGCGGUAAUACGUAGGGCGCGAGCGUUGUCCGGAUUUAUUGGGCGUAAAGAGCUCGUAGGUGGUUCGUCGCGUCUGUCGUGAAAGCCAGCAGCUUAACUGUUGGUCUGCGGUGGGUACGGGCGGGCUUGAGUGCGGUAGGGGUGACUGGAAUUCCUGGUGUAGCGGUGGAAUGCGCAGAUAUCACGAGGAACACCGAUGGCGAAGGCAGGUCACUGGGCCGUUACUGACACUGAGGAGCGAAAGCGUGGGGAGCGAACAGG
rnacentral:rRNA from 1 species